UACGAAGGGGGGCUAGCGUUGCUCGGAAUGACUGGGCGUAAAGGGCGCGUAGGCGGAUGGCACAGUCAGAUGUGAAAUUCCCGGGCUUAACCUGGGGGCUGCAUUUGAUACGUGUGAUCUAGAGUGAGGAAGAGGGUCGUGGAAUUCCCAGUGUAGAGGUGAAAUUCGUAGAUAUUGGGAAGAACACCGGUGGCGAAGGCGGCGACCUGGUCCUUGACUGACGCUGGAGGCGCGAAAGCGUGGGGAGCAAACAGG
rnacentral:rRNA from 1 species